CCUACGGGAGGCAGCAGUCGGGAAUAUUGCGCAAUGGAGGAAACCCUGAUGCAGCGACGCCGCGUAUAGGAAGAAGUAUUUCGGUACGUAAAGCUCUGUCAGCAGGGAAGAAAAUGACGGUACCUGACUAAGAAGCCCCGGCUAACUACGUGCCAGCAGCCGCGGUAAUACGUAGGGGGCAAGCGUUAUCCGGAUUUACUGGGUGUAAAGGGAGCGUAGACGGCAGCGCAAGUCUGGUGUGAAAUCCCAUGGCUUAACCAAGGAACUGCUUUGGAAACUGUUCAGCUAGAGUGCAGGAGAGGAAAGCGGAAUUCCUAGUGUAGCGGUGAAAUGCGUAGAUAUUAGGAGGAACACCAGUGGCGAAGGCGGCUUACUGGACUGUAACUGACGUUGAGGCUCGAAAGUGUGGGGAGCAAACAGGAUUAGAUACCCUAGUAGUC
rnacentral:rRNA from 1 species